rnacentral:lncRNA from 1 species
UUCUUGAACUGCUCUUGCGGCAUAUGGAGUGGCCAUAGAAAAGGGGGGAAAAAAAAGUCACACAAGAAAGUCUGAAAUACUAAUUGUUGUUCUCUUUAUAUUACAACAGAAAUGUUCAUUUCUGAAUCUGUUUCUCAAAAUGUAGUCCUAAGAAACUAAUGUUUGAUUUCCUGUGAAGUUCUGUUUUAUGCCUUCAAUUGAUUUGUAUAAAUAGCUUAUUAGAAAGGCCAACUUAAAAUUGACGUUUAGAAUUUGGGCAGUGUCUUGAAUAUAUAAGUUCUCACCCCUCUGCUAGAUUUCACUUCGGUGUUAUUCAACUUGUGGUGGUGAGACAGGUAAAUACAAAUUCAAAGGGAAUUUAAGGAUAUGAUUAUUCCAGAAGCAAUUGUACUGAUAAUUAGUUGUUCCCGAGUUGUUCAAUAUGCUCUUAAUCUGUAUUUAUUCAAAAACUGUUAGCUCAGUGCCAGAAAGCUUUUAUUAUUUUACUUUUGGUUAAAUUCCAGAUAUGAAACUGGGAGAAGCUGAUACUGGAAAGAUGAUACUGGAGUCUGGGUUCUUGUUCAUGGCAGUUGAAGAAUGAACUCCACACACAGGAGCAAGCAAGCAAAGUCUUUAUUAAAGGAAAGCAGAUAGGAGUUCCCGUCGUGGUGCAGUGGUUAACGAAUCCGACUAGGAACCAUGAGGUUGUGGGUUCGAUCCCUGGCCUUGCUCAGUGGGUUAAGGAUCUGGCGUUGCCUUGAGCUGUGGUGUAGCUUGUAGGCGAGGCUUGGAUCCCGUGUUGCUGUGGCUCUGGUGUAGGCUGGCAGGAAGAGUUCCAAUUGGACCCCUAGCCUGGGAACCUCCAUAUGCUGCAGAAGUGGCCCUAGAAAAGGCAAAAAGACAAAAAUAAAUAAAUAAAUAAAAAUAAAGGAAAGCAGAUAGCUCCCAGAGCUGCUGGGAGAGGGGAGAAGAGCCCCCUUUCUCUAUUGUCCUAUAGGGGUUUUUAAUCUCUUAGUUGGGGGGGUACCAAUGUGGGGUCCAGAGAGAUGUGGUCUUCUCCCAUUGGCCUUACUCAGUUACCCAUAUCAGUCCUGUCCAAUAGGGUCUUAGGGGUGGAAAUGUCCAGUAAGUCUCAUAGUUUCUUUGUCCUUUUCUUCCCAUAAACUGAGUCACAGGGAGUUAGGGAUUAAUGUCCUUCUGAGCAUAGGUGCACUCCUUAUAGUAAACAAGGCCUAUGGGGAUGUUAUUCUCUGAAGCCUUUAAGCUACAAAUGUUAAUCCAUGGCCAUAUCAAAGAAUGCAUGGAUGUCCAAACUCCUACACUGACUACCUGAGAUAAUAUUCUGCUUCAAAGCGAUAAACCCUUACCCUCUAUUUUGCCAAAAUAAAAGGUUGGGAUUAAUACAUAAAGAAUUUGAAAUAGAAGUUCUGAAAUGCUGAAAAUUUGUCUCCUUUUCACAGCUUAUUCACAGUGUCUUUUGGAUGCAAGGUGUUUAUAAAAUGUACUGUAGUCAAAUUUACAUACAAACAAAAGAUUUUAAGAAAUGUGUUAUUUUAUUAUUUAAAAUGGAUAUUUGAAGGAAACUAAAUGAUUUUUCUGGAUGAAUUAUAAUUCCUCUCCACAAGGGCAUUUCAGUAGAAACAUGAGCUCUUAACAAUUAUAUUUGUUUAAAACAGGUAUGUGCUUUUUUAUGUAAUUUACACCAAAAAACUCCAAUACUUUAUUCAGUUCAGAUGCAUCUUAGGGCAUACAAGCCUACGUUUUACAAGUACAGAUUCUCACAUUCACAGAAAAAAUUAAAAACCAGCUAUACUAUUGUCAGGUAAUUACAUGGUUAUGGAUUUCAACUCAAACAAUUUCAGUAAUUUUUCAAUAAAACACCCAGUGACUUGAGUGCCUAGGUGUCCUUAUUUGCAUAAGAAAGGUUCUGACUAUUGAUAUAGCAUGGUACUCAUCUUUGUUUCCAUUGCUCCUCACUGGGACAUUUAAGACACAUCAGCCCUGCUAUACCCCUGCCACUGCAGAUGAUUUACUUCAUUCAAGAUUGCCAGAGGAAAGGCAAAGAUACUCCCAAAUUGUAAAAAACUCAACGAACAGUGGCAGGUAUGCUAAAAGUGGCAUACUGGAACAAAUCCAUGAGAGUGAAGCCCUAUUUUAUUCACUGGCAAGGUCAAGGGUGAGACCAAGAGUGU